rnacentral:tRNA from 3 species
GCUCUGAUCGAUUAGUUGGUUAAAUCAGAGGUCUCAUAGCAAACAUAAGCUACGAUCCUGAAUUCAGGAGUCAUCCUCAGCCCACAGUUCGAAUCUGUGUCAGAGCA